rnacentral:tRNA from 1 species
GGCAGUUCAGGAAAUCGGGACAAACGGCUCAUACCCGUUGUGUCGACGGUUCGAGUCCGUCCCCAGCCA